rnacentral:lncRNA from 1 species
CAGGAGCUGCUGCUGGUGAAGUCGCUGCUCUUCUGCACGGUGCUUGCGACGCCGCCUUGGCAGCAGCUCUCGUCCUCCGGUGCUGCGUGUGGAGCCUCCGUGCCGCGGAGGGGAGAGUCAUUCCUGUCUGUAUUGCUGUCCAUCCCUGCCCCCAAGAACGUGGGAGUGGAUUAUGCUGCCAGCACAGUGCUUGCUCUGACCACUGUCCUCGUGAAUGUCAGCUUAUUCACAGUGAAACAGCCCUCUUUUGCCACUUCAUCAAGGACAGCUCGAUGUCUCGUGCUCGAUGCAUCUGUCUCAUCACUCUGACAGUCAUAAAUCCAGUAGCUGCUUAA